UACGUAGGUGGCGAGCGUUGUCCGGAUUUACCGGGCGUAAAGAGCGCGCAGGCGGUCGUGCAAGUCGCGUGUGAAAGCCCUCGGCUCAACCGAGGAAGUGCGCCCGAAACUGCAUGGCUUGAGUACCGGAGAGGAUGGCGGAAUUCCCCAAGUAGAGGUGAAAUUCGUAGAUAUGGGGAGGAACACCGGUGGCGAAGGCGGCCAUCUGGACGGAUAUUGACGCUGAGACGCGAAAGCGUGGGGAGCAAACAGG
rnacentral:rRNA from 1 species